rnacentral:misc_RNA from 1 species
GGUUGAUUAGCAGUUCUUACAUUAGGUAAGAAUUAGGAAAGAAAAUUCUUUUCUGCCAAGAGAUGUUGAACUUCAUCUUAGGUGAGUACAAGAGGAGAGCAGGGCACUACAGCUCGAACCUAGUAUCUAUAGGAUAUGCACAGGUGGCACCUUGGCUAUAUAUAUUUAUAUAUUUUUGGUACAAGAGGAGAGUGCUACAGCUUGAACCUAGGAUAUCUACCCAAACCUCAACACUCUACCUCCUGGGAUAAGCACAGGUGGCACCUUGACCAUAUGUAUUUCUAUUUUUGGUACAAGAGGAAUGCGCUACAGCUUGAACCUAGGAU